ensembl:piRNA 21ur-4003 ncRNA
UAUUCGAUUCGAACGAUUGAA